GGGUAAGUAGCUCAAUUGGAUAGAGCAACGGUCUUCUAAACCGUAGGUUGCGGGUUCGAGUCCCGCCUUGCCUACCA
rnacentral:tRNA from 1 species